CUGUGCAUUCAUUUUUGUUUAUUAUUCAAUGAAGGGAUAGGGUAUGUAGUUUGCAGGGGUACUGCGCCCCCUGCUGGUCGUUUUGUGUACAUACUGUUUGUUUUCCUGGCUUUCGUCAGACGAUGUUGGAUCUGGCCAAGAGCUGCGUGUGUUGAGGACAUAUGACCAUCGCUGUGGUUUUCUCUUUUCUAAAACACUGAACAGACACCCAACAGCAAUAAAUGUCCUGUGCCAAAACCCGAGUCUCCAGUCGUCUGCUACACACGUUAGACACAACGCAGGUAACCAGUACUGAGGCCAGGCCGGUUACAUUGGUGCCGUGACCCGGAUCCAUCGUGGAUCAACACCAGCUUGGUCACAGGAGGUUGCUGAAUGCCAUCGCAAGGUUUUCUUUUUUGUUUGAGAUUGCACUGAAGUGAUUUUGUCACAGUUAAGAUAACUUUUCAUUGAAGUGACAUCACUUGUAUUAAGAAAAAUAUAUAUUACUUUGUUGCCUAUAAAAAAAAAAAGUAUUUUCUGUUUUUGUGUGGCCCUGAAUUAAGUGAUAAGUGAAGAAAAUUACAUUUAAUAUUGAAAGGGGAGGUGAUGUGCCCUCUAUUGAUUCUCUUCUUAGCUCUGGGAGGGGGAGACUUUUAAGUGAGCUGUGUAAUACUCCAGUUAGAGCUCCAGGUAAUGUGGGCUAACCUGCCUUUAGCUCCACCAGGCUACCUAAUAGUCUAUCCACUAACAGUAGACCCACUGAAAUGCUUUCAGCUAUUCCAGACAUU